CCUACGGGUGGCAGCAGUGGGGAAUAUUGCGCAAUGGGCGAAAGCCUGACGCAGCGACGCCGCGUGAGGGAUGAAGGUCUUCGGAUCGUAAACCUCUGUCAGCAGGGAAGAACGGUCACUGUGCUAAUCAGCAGUGACUUGACGGUACCUGCAAAGGAAGCACCGGCUAACUACGUGACAGCAGCCGCGGUAAGACGGAGGGUGUGAGCGUUAAUCGGAAUUACUGGGCGUAAAGCGCUCGUAGGCGGUAUGGCAAGUCCAGGGUGAAAUCCCCGCGCUCAACGUGGGAACUGCCUUUGAAACUGGCAAACUGGAGGGUGGGAGAGGAUAGUGGAAUUCCAGGUGUAGCAGUGAAAUGCGUAGAUAUCUGGAGGAACAGCAGUGGCGAAGGCGACUAACUGGAACAUAACUGACGCUGAGGAGCGAAAGCGUGGGUAGCAAACAGGAUUAGAUACCCUGGUAGUC
rnacentral:rRNA from 1 species